AAAAAAUAAAAAAUUGAUGUUACAUUGGAAGAUUGAUUGACCUUUGGUCCCAGUCUGACAGUCACUGAGUUAUCCACCCUCACUUUUUUUUAGUGGAGUAAUUCUGGAAAAUUUGUCCUAGCUGUGUUUCACAUUGGGUGGUAAAAGAGACUGAAAGAGGGGGGCUGGAAAAGCAGGGCAUGUGACCUCCUACCUUCUCUGUUGAGGCUGUGCUCCACACAGAGCACUUUGCGGAAUGGGGGGAUAUUACACCAUGAAGGAGAAAUGAGAUUAUGAUAAAAGAGGGGAGUUAGAGAUAUCUAAACUGUCUUAAAUCUGUUUUGAAUAGGAACACUUAUUUUUUUUCUUGAAAUGCUUAGUUGAAAAACUGAGGUGAACUCUUCAUACUUUCUGAGAUACUCUAAUUCCUAGCCUCGCUGGAGUUUAUACUCUUUCACUUUGCAGGCCUUGUCAAUGCCUGUUCAAAGCAGCACGGGGUUCUAGCUGUCUAUGGAGUGCAAAUGUAUUUACUGAUUGUGCAAUACUUUUUUGAGAUAAGUUUAUUAGUAGUAGUAUUUUUAACUCCCACCAGCUGCUUGUGCAAGGCAGGGAGUGACUGAAAACGGCAGAAAUCCUCCUUGCUCUUCAGUUUUGCUGUCCUGAGGUGGGAUGUUAUUCCUUGCUUGCCUGGUGUGCUGGAGGAGGCCUGUGUGGGCAAGCGAGACCUUCUCAUGAGAGGCAGGGGCUGAACUGAGGUGUUCGAGGAAACUGUCCUACACAGAUAGCAAACAAAAAAAACUCUUUGGGCUUUUGGAUAUCUUAGAGAUAAAUUUCUCAAGGAUCUCGGACUGCUUUUCUUCUCCUGCCGGCCCUUUUAUUUUCUUGGGCUGCUGCUAAUCAGUAACUACGUUUUCCUUACUUCAGGGUCAUUGCUGUGUUUCCUUUGCUGUGAGGAUUUAAAAGGGCUUUCCUAUCACUGACAAAUAUCAAAGCAGCUGCAGAAUGGAUCAGUAUUUAAAUGGGUUGCAUUAUGUGAACAGUGAAUGCAAAGAAUGCACAACUUUUGGAGUGUUUCCAGAGUCAAGCUUUGACUGCUUGCUUCUGAGGGAGUAG
rnacentral:lncRNA from 1 species